AGUGAACGCUGGCGGUAGGCCUAACACAUGCAAGUCGAACGGCAGCACAGUAAGAGCUUGCUCUUACGGGUGGCGAGUGGCGGACGGGUGAGGAAUGCAUCGGAAUCUACUUUUUCGUGGGGGAUAACGUAGGGAAACUUACGCUAAUACCGCAUACGACCUACGGGUGAAAGCAGGGGAUCUUCGGACCUUGCGCGAUUGAAUGAGCCGAUGUCGGAUUAGCUAGUUGGCGGGGUAAAGGCCCACCAAGGCGACGAUCCGUAGCUGGUCUGAGAGGAUGAUCAGCCACACUGGAACUGAGACACGGACCAGACUCCUACGGGAGGCAGCAGUGGGGAAUAUUGGACAAUGGGCGCAAGCCUGAUCCAGCCAUACCGCGUGGGUGAAGAAGGCCUUCGGGUUGUAAAGCCCUUUUGUUGGGAAAGAAAAGCAGCAGGUUAAUACCCCGCUGUUCUGACGGUACCCAAAGAAUAAGCACCGGCUAACUUCGUG
rnacentral:rRNA from 1 species